CUACGGGAGGCAGCAGUGGGGAAUAUUGCACAAUGGGCGCAAGCCUGAUGCAGCCAUGCCGCGUGUGUGAAGAAGGCCUUCGGGUUGUAAAGCACUUUCAGCGGGGAGGAAGGCGUUAAGGUUAUUAACCUUGGCGAUUGACGUUACCCGCAGAAGAAGCACCGGCUAACUCCGUGCCAGCAGCCGCGGUAAUACGGAGGGUGCAAGCGUUAAUCGGAAUUACUGGGCGUAAAGCGCACGCAGGCGGUCUGUCAAGUCGGAUGUGAAAUCCCCGGGCUCAACCUGGGAACUGCAUUCGAAACUGGCAGGCUAGAGUCUUGUAGAGGGGGGUAGAAUUCCAGGUGUAGCGGUGAAAUGUGUAGAGAUCUGGAGGAAUACCGGUGGCGAAGGCGGCCCCCUGGACAAAGACUGACGCUCAGGUGCGAAAGCGUGGGGAGCAAACAGGAUUAGAUACCCCUGUAGUC
rnacentral:rRNA from 1 species